rfam:Schistosoma mansoni strain Puerto Rico chromosome 2, complete genome
AUCCAACUGACGAGUCCCAAAUAGGACGAAAAGUGCUUUCUGGAU